rnacentral:snRNA from 1 species
GUGUCAGGGUGAUCUGACAGGGACAUCUGUCACCCCAUUGAUCACCAGCGUUGAUCUUGCUGAUCUGGCUGGCUAGUGUUUCCUUUCCUCUCUCAGUGCUCCAUGUGUAUGCCUCCAGGAGUUGCACGUUCAGUCAGAGAGGAUAGCCUUCCUCAUAGAGGAGGACUGUUUUUCAGUCAGCAGUAUGCCAGUAGCUGUACUCCCCUUCUAGAACCUCCAAACAAAAGCUCUUCCUUGUCUUACAUAGCCACUAGGAUUCAGUCCUGGGGACUCUGUCCUAAUU